CCGAAAGGGGUACUAAUACCGGAUAUUCUUUGCUUUUCAUAAGUUAUGCAAGCAAAGGUGGCCUCUGCAUAUGCUACUGCAUGGAAGAGGGGUCUGCGUACCAUUAGCUAGGUAGGUGGGGUAAUGGCCUACCUAGGCGACGAUGGUUAGCGGGUCUGAGAGGAUGAUCCGCCACACUGGCACUGGAACACGGGCCAGACUCCUACGGGAGGCAGCAGUGAGGAAUAUUGCGCAAUGGGGGAAACCCUGACGCAGCGACGCCGCGUGAAGCGAGGAAGGCCUUCGGGUCGUAAAGCUCUGUCAAGAGGAAAGAAGUGUACAAUGGCUAAUACCUGUUGUAUUUGACGGUACCUCUAAAGGAAGCACCGGCUAACUCCGUGCCAGCCGCUGC
rnacentral:rRNA from 1 species